rnacentral:rRNA from 1 species
AAUACCGCAUACGUCCUACGGGAGAAAGCAGGGGAUCUUCGGACCUUGCGCUAAUAGAUGAGCCUAAGUCGGAUUAGCUAGUUGGUGGGGUAAAGGCCUACCAAGGCGACGAUCUGUAGCGGGUCUGAGAGGAUGAUCCGCCACACUGGGACUGAGACACGGCCCAGACUCCUACGGGAGGCAGCAGUGGGGAAUAUUGGACAAUGGGGGGAACCCUGAUCCAGCCAUGCCGCGUGUGUGAAGAAGGCCUUAUGGUUGUAAAGCACUUUAAGCGAGGAGGAGGCUACUUUAGUUAAUACCUAGAGAUAGUGGACGUUACUCGCAGAAUAAGCACCGGCUAACUCUGUGCCAGCAGCCGCGGUAAUACAGAGGGUGCGAGCGUUAAUCGGAUUUACUGGGCGUAAAGCGUGCGUAGGCGGCUUAUUAAGUCGGAUGUGAAAUCCCCGAGCUUAACUUGGGAAUUGCAUUCGAUACUGGUGAGCUAGAGUAUGGGAGAGGAUGGUAGAAUUCCAGGUGUAGCGGUGAAAUGCGUAGAGAUCUGGAGGAAUACCGAUGGCGAAGGCAGCCAUCUGGCCUAAUACUGACGCUGAGGUACGAAAGCAUGGGGAGCAAACAGGAUUAGAUACCCUGGUAGUCCAUGCCGUAAACGAUGUCUACUAGCCGUUGGGGCCUUUGAGGCUUUAGUGGCGCAGCUAACGCGAUAAGUAGACCGCCUGGGGAGUACGGUCGCAAGACUAAAACUCAAAUGAAUUGACGGGGGCCCGCACAAGCGGUGGAGCAUGUGGUUUAAUUCGAUGCAACGCGAAGAACCUUACCUGGCCUUGACAUACUAGAA